AUACUUUUUCUAACUUCUCUAAUUUUCUCUAAUUUAAUCUUCAUACAAAAAGUGCAAGUUUUAUUCUCGUGAGGAGCGGAGUUUGUGGGUAAGGAGCGCGCCAAGUAAGAAUCUACUCGGCACACAACAAAUUCUCGUGGUCAUCGGAGGUCGUGGGUUAGGAGCG